AUACUCUGGUUUCUCUUCAAUUCGUAUAAAUCUUUCGCCUUUUACUAAAGAUUUCCGUGGAGAGGAACAGUUGUGAGUCUUUGCUUAAUUUUUUGAGGUCUCGUAUUUCACGAGGCU